UGGCGGGUGCAGCCCUUCUGGGCGCUCCUCCCUCCCUGCCCUCCAUUCCCGCAACUCCUGCCUCCCUGGCGCCCCGUUCCCGCAGUUCCCGAUAGUUCUGCCGCUCUAUUCCCGCAGCUCCCGCCUCCCUGCCCUCCAUUCCCGCAGUUCCCGAUGGUUCUGCGGCUGGAAGUGUAAUGAGAUCCCCAACUGGUCAGAGGGCUGUGCUAUGUGCCCCAGAGCUGCUGUCAGGGCUCGCUGGCACCACUCGUCAUUAGAGGAAGCUGGCUCUGCCACAGAAACGUCAGGGUCCGGCCGCGAGUGGAGCAAAGGGAUCCCGGGUGUGGGGAAAGGCUGUAAAAGUGACAGGGAAAGCUGUCUCAGCAGGAAAAUGUGAUGCAGAGGCAUCGCCCCGCUGUUGUGGGGUCCCUGUGUGGAACACCACGUGUCCUACCCGCCUGUCCCUGCUGUGGGACAGGUUAUCUGCCAACAGCUUUCCUAAAGGCUGGAUGAGUUUUGUUUCUUGGGAGGUUUUUUGCUUGUUUAUCGCCUAGAAAUAGUCCUAAAUUUCUAUCUGUCAUUUGUGGGGUUUUUGGUUUUGUUUUGUUUUGUUUUUUUCAACUCAUGAAUUUUGAAUUAUAGAAUCAUGGAAUAUCCCGAGUUGGAAAGGACUCACAAGGACCUGACCUUGAACAGGACACCCCAACACUCCCACUGUGUCCUUGAGAGCGAUGUCCAAACACUUAAUAAACUCUGUCAGACUUGAUGCCGUGACCACUUCCCUGGGGAGGCUGUUCAGUGCCCAGCCACCCUCUGGGGGAAGAACCCUUUCCUAAUACCCAAACCUUUGGGUAAGUUACAGCACUUUACAGAAAAAAUUGAAUAAUCAUAACCCCAAACAGUGAAAAACAUGGGAAAUUCUGCUUCUGUUGUUCUUAUUCAGUGAGAGAAACUGUCCUGUUCACUGAUGGGGACUUACGCAGCAUUUUAAAUAAGUCCUGAUUUCAGGGAGAACAUGCAUUAAGGUUUUGAUAUUGAAUUAAUAGUUUUGAUUGAAUUUUCCAUUUGUAUCAGCUGUAUCCAAAAAGUCAUUCAAGAAGCUAGAUUCUCUCGGUUUGUCAAGCUGCUUGUUGUCUGCAUGUCCAGUGUUUAACUGAGAUGCCUGGUAUCUGAUGCAGAAGUAUGGAAUAUGCUGGAAGAAGUGGCCAGGUUGGCGGGCUGAUUCAAAUUUUAUUAUCCACGUCAACAGCUUCCCCAGGAACUUAUUCACCUGGGCUGAUGGUGAUGAGUGGAAAGAAAUAAUUUUUAGUGCUGAUAAAGUGGCUAAUUCUCCACAGCCUGUUCUGCCAACCCAGGUGUUAACUACCCUGAAGGUGUUGGUCCUUCAGAGGUGCCCAGCCGAAGCCACUAAUACAUGUUUACAGAGCACUAAGCUAGCAAAGGGAUAGCUAUUUUCAAUUCUCAUUGCUUUACUUGGGUCUCAUGAGCCACAGAGAGGUGAAAUGCUGCUCACUGGCCUCAUUUCCCAACUCCCUGUGCUCCCUUCAUAUCCUGAGGAGUCAAAAGGCUGCUUUAAACAGAGAGAGAGUCUGUCUAUGGAGGGGAAACUGCAGCAGGAGAAAGAGCCUGCCCAGCCUGUGGGCUGCAACCCUCUGUGAGCAUCCAGUUCAAACCUCGGACUGUUUAUGACCCUGGUUCUGGGGUGUUCAUGCAUGGCUGGCUUGAAAGCAGGUUUCUGGUGUUUGCAGGGAGAGAAUUUCAAGCUUUGGUCCCUGAUGUAAUAGCAAGUCUGUUACCAGCUUUCCAGCUGGUAAAAGUGAUCAGUGGAAUAUCAUCCCAACAAAUAAAGCAGGGAAUGUGAUCAAAGGGUAUUUGGAUAUUACAGCACUCAUUCUUUUUUACAAUAUUUCGUUUCACUUCCCCUUUCGUGUUUUUUCGAUGGUCCAGAUGUGGGAGGAACUGGUGGGUGUGGGAAUAACUGUUUCUUCAGCCAGGGCUAAAUCUCUCCCUUGCUCGUCAGCAUCACCUGUGUGAUUGGCACUUCCCCAGCUGAGAUUGGCAAGGGCUAGUGAUGUGCAUUGAUAUUCCUUGGGCUGCUGCCUUCAGCUCCCUCAGCACAGCUUCUGGUUGUAGCAAAGCAAAGGAACUGAUCAAAAUCUGGGAGUUUGUUAGCUGAAAACUGGGCUCAGUAACAUAUGUGGUUAAAAUAAUCGUGUGGGUACCUUAAUGGUGCCUACAACAUGUAUAUUGCUUUCUUUUAAGUUCUCAGGGGAGUUUUUUUUUAAGUAUUGUGCUGGAUAAGUACAGUGUUGUGUUUAACUACUGCUGAGUUUAAAGAGUGUUUUCUUUUUACUUUCUGAUUUACUCCACCUGAAUUUCUCAUCAUACUACAAAUGUGCUUGUCAGUGUGGGAGUCUCAGUAACAUUCCUGGGAUGUUUUCAGCCAGAUUUACCAGGCUGGAGAGGCUUUCUGGCUUUUGACUAGUAGCAGAGCAUAAAACAAAUAGGAAAUGGUUCUUCCUGUUGGUAUGCAAGACUGAUACUGAGUAGGGGAAUUGCUCCCAAAUCCAGCGUGCUCCUUAGGCAGUUUGUAGGAGGGAAACAUCCCGAGGCUUCUAUUGGUUCCUUUCAUCUGGUCCCUGGGAACUUAAAUUCAUGGAGGAACUGCUGCUGGUUUGCAGCUGGAGUGGGAGCAGGAGAGGAAAGUGAUCUUUCAGCUUGCUCAGCUUACCUUUCAAGUGAUGGCUGCAUCAGAAGGGCUCUGAACCAGACAGCUGAAAGUACUUGAAAGGCGUCCCUCCCUGCAGCGGCCAUGGGACUGUUCUCGACAGACCUGUGGCCGUGAGUGUGCCGAGGGCUGGCAGGGCAGCGACUGCUCCCACCCCGCCUGCCCCAGCCGCUGCAGCGGCCACAGGCCUGGGACAGCGAGACGCGUGUCUGUGACAAGCCUUUCUUUGGGGAGGAUUGCAGCCUUCGGCUCUGCCCAGAGAGAACUGCAGCGGCCACAGUGUCGGUGGACAGAAAUUGUGUGAACAAUUCCAGUUGCAUUUCUGAGACCUUCACCUUGGCAUGGCUGGGUGCAGACAGUAAAAAAAUACUGCGCCACUAAUAUGGCUGCAGGCCUUGUGCCAAGGUGAAGGAGGAGUUGUUCUGGCAGGAAAACAAGUUUUAUGGACACCUACUGAUAUCCAAUUAGUACUGUACACCACAGUAUGUUUUCCUUAUGUAUCCAAUGUAACCUGGGGAAGAAUCACAUGUCUGUGUGUCACAGGCAGCAUAUAAGCUGUCUGUCCUCUAAUAAAGCGGACAUUUUUGCCAA